UGCGUAGGUGGUUUUUCAAGUCAGAAGUGAAAGGCUACGGCUCAACCGUAGUAAGCUUUUGAAACUGUUAAACUUGAGUGCAGGAGAGGAGAGUGGAAUUCCUAGUGUAGCGGUGAAAUGCGUAGAUAUUAGGAGGAACACCAGUUGCGAAGGCGGCUCUCUGGACUGUAACUGACACUGAGGCACGAAAGCGUGGGGAGCAAACA
rnacentral:rRNA from 1 species